AGAAGUAUAGCUCAAAUGGUAGAGUGUCAGGCUUGACUGAAGAAGCCAAGCAAGAGCAAAAGACCUGAGUUCAAGUCCCAGUACUGGUA
rnacentral:tRNA from 1 species